CGAAGCACACACUCGGCCAAACCCAGCUGGCCGAGCCACAUGGCAGCAGUCCAACCAAGAAGGUUCGGCCAAAGCAAGAAAGAGUUCAUGCCUAAUCAACGGGGGAGUCCAAACCGGCUCUCCCAUGGCUAACCGGCAAGCAUGGACAUGGGCGGUCAAGAUGCAUCAGGCCGCCAAAUGAAGGGGCAGCAACGCUGCCAUGUCAUCGAUCCGUGGGGGAAAGAAGCACGCCACAUCAUUGAUCCUUGUGAAUAGACACCUUCACCAAAGGGCGACACAUGGCAAGGGACCACGGACACUUGGCAGAAGCAGCAAAGAAGGUGCAACCAGCCCAAAUCUGCACAUUCCUAAAUUGAUUGGGCGCCCACCCAUUCAAAUGAGUUUGAAUUCAAAUAUGGCUGAUUAGAGGCCAAAUAAGGAUAGUUUGCUUGAGUAAUUUGAAUUCAAAUUUUGAAUUCAAAUAAAGGCCACUCUUGGCCGAUUAAGGAAAGGUUGGAAUUCAAAUUCAAAUUCGAAUUAGUUCCCACUACUAAUUUCGAAUUUGAAUUCAAAUUAAGCCCACUCAUAAGCUGAAAUUUCAGCACUUAGCAUUUGUCUAUUUAAGGGUGCCAUUAGGCACUUUGUAAUCAUCUUUUGAAGAGUUAAUCCAUCUUGAUCUUUUGAUCUUUGAUCCCAUAGGGGAAUUCGGCCGAAAGGCCUUGGGCUAUCAUAGGGAUUCAACCCUCGAUAGAUUAGGCUAGUAUGGGAUACAUCAAUCCCUACUAGAUUGUUGGCUAAGUGAGGGAUCCUUACGAUUCUUCAUUAGACUGGGCUAGUAGAGAUCCUUGAAUGCUCUACUAGAUUUUUCUUUUCUUUGUUUGUUCUUCGUUCUUUGUUCAUCAAUUUGAGAUUGAAUCCAAAAGUUCCUUUUGAUCUUCAUUGGUGAAAUCUUUGGAAGGCAUAUUGUUCAUCUUUUUGCUGUGAGUAUUACAUCCCCCCAGGCGUUACCUACAUUCGGCCAAGGAAGAAGUUCUAGCAAGGCAAAAAGCUUGCGAUCAGCGGGUUAGCUUGUUGGGAAGCCGUCGGCCGAGCGGGGUUCCC
rnacentral:lncRNA from 1 species